UGGGGAAUAUUGCACAAUGGGGGAAACCCUGAUGCAGCGACGCCGCGUGGAGGAAGAAGGUCUUCGGAUUGUAAACUCCUGUUGUUGGGGAAAAUAAGGAUGGUACCCAACAAGGAAGUGACGGCUAACUACGUGCCAGCAGCCGCGGUAAAACGUAGGUCACAAGUGUUGUCCGGAAUUACUGGGUGUAAAGGGAGCGCAGGCGGGUAUGCAAGUUGGAAGUGAAAUACAUGGGCUCAACCCAUGAACUGCUUUCAAAACUGUGUAUCUUGAGUAGUGCAGAGGUAGGCGGAAUUCCCGGUGUAGCGGUGGAAUGCGUAGAUAUCGGGAGGAACACCAGUGGCGAAGGCGGCCUACUGGGCACCAACUGACGCUGAGGCUCGAAAGUGUGGGUAGCAAACAGGAUUAGAUACCCUGGU
rnacentral:rRNA from 1 species